GAUCGUGCUGGCACCCUGAUCUCGGACUUCUAGCCUCCAGAACUAAUUUUAUACAUUGUUAUGAGUACUGGGUCAGCCAAGAAAAGUAUUAUAACCCGUGAAGGAACAAAGGAAGAAAAUAUUUGAUAUUGUCAACAUGUUCCAUCUCAAGGAAAAACAUCAUCUGAAAGGAGAAGAACACUUUUGUCCACAGCCCGGAGCGCACAGAAUGAGUCAGGGGCUGCUUGAAGACAGAGACCAAUAUCAGAG